UAUUGCACAAUGGGGGAAACCCUGAUGCAGCGACGCCGCGUGAGCGAAGAAGUAUUUCGGUAUGUAAAGCUCUAUCAGCAGGGAAGAAAAUGACGGUACCUGACUAAGAAGCCCCGGCUAACUACGUGCCAGCAGCCGCGGUAAUACGUAGGGGGCAAGCGUUAUCCGGAUUUACUGGGUGUAAAGGGAGCGUAGGUGGCAUGGUAAGCCAGAAGUGAAAACCCAGGGCUCAACUCUGCGGAUUGCUUUUGGAACUAUCAAGCUAGAGUGCUGGAGGGGUAAGCGGAAUUCCUAGUGUAGCGGUGAAAUGCGUAGAUAUUAGGAGGAACACCAGUGGCGAAGGCGGCUUACUGGACUGUAACUGACGUUGAGGCUCGAUAGCGUGGGGAGCAAACAGG
rnacentral:rRNA from 1 species